rnacentral:rRNA from 1 species
UACGUAGGGCGCAAGCGUUGUCCGGAAUUAUUGGGCGUAAAGAGCUCGUAGGUGGUUUGUCGCGUCUGCCGUGAAAGCCCGGGGCUUAACUCCGGGUCUGCGGUGGAUACGGGCAGACUAGAGGCAGGUAGGGGAGAACGGAAUUCCCGGUGUAGCGGUGAAAUGCGCAGAUAUCGGGAGGAACACCGGUGGCGAAGGCGGCAUCCUGGACCAAUACUGACACUGAGGAGCGAAAGCCAGGGGAGCAAACGGG